rnacentral:rRNA from 1 species
UACGAAGGGGGCUAGCGUUGUUCGGAAUUACUGGGCGUAAAGCGCACGUAGGCGGAUAUUUAAGUCAGGGGUGAAAUCCCAGAGCUCAACUCUGGAACUGCCUUUGAUACUGGGUAUCUGGAGUAUGGAAGAGGUGAGUGGAAUUCCGAGUGUAGAGGUGAAAUUCGUAGAUAUUCGGAAGAACACCAGUGGCGAAGGCGACUCACUGGACACGUAUUGACGCUGAGGUGCGAAAGCGUGGGGAGCAAACAGG